AUUAUUAUUUUUUCGUUUGCCAACGUUUGAAGCACUCGCGAAUUGCGAUUAUUUGAAAUUUGAACAAAAAUACAGACCACAGUCGUACAGAGUUUUAAUAGUUCUAUUCAUACAUAUUAUUACAUAAUCGCCAUGCAUAAGUGUAUUGUUUUUAGUAGAACAUCGGAAGUAUCGCCUAGCCAAAUAAUGUUAGUAUUAAUUUAUUUCUAAAAAAUGAAAAUAGAAGGAAAUAAUGGCUUAACAUCUUUGAAUUAAAUGAUUAUUCCAAUUUCUAUCUGGCAUAGUAUCUGCGGAUUAUUUCACAAUAACUGAUUGUAAACAAUGCUCUCAUAACAUAAUCCAAACCAUUUGUCUGGUUAAAGAAGUAAAAUAAAUUUUAGUAAUUUAUAGCGACAUUGGUACUACUUUAAGAACGACCAAUAAAUCACAUUUAUGUAAAAUCAUUUAACAUAAUUCUUGAAUUAGGGAUUUAUAUAGUUUUAACAACUUAACAUUUUCAGAAAAUUGUGUUUUGAAUGAAGGUGUCGGUCGUGCUGCACAUACAAGUAACUUGGAAGUCGAUCAAAUAUCCUUACAAUUUUUCAGACAUUGACUUUCAUGAAGAUAAUUCAAUCGACUUAGAUGAAGCCAUACAAUAAUGGAGCAAAUUAUGAAACUUAAGAGUGAGAAUAUUGUUGAAUAUUGUGUUUUUCCGACGAUGAGUUAAAAGAAAAUGAACAGACGAAUAAAGGAUAUGGAGACCUUACAAUUGAUGAUUUUAAUUCACCCAGAAAAGCCUUAGAUACUUAAUAAUGUCUAAUUCACACACACUUAUAUUUUUUGACAAACCUUGCUUCACCUGUCAGAAUGGUUGGCAUGAGCUAUGAAAAGAUAUAUUAUACAGAAGAUGUGUCUGACAGGCUGUUAAAAAAAUUGGGGUGUCCUGCAUACAUAAAUGCAUACAUACAAAGAUUACUGGUCGUCAAACCCGUUCCCAUUCAUGGAAUUUACUUCUCAACAAGAAAAGACAAACUUCUUUGUAAGAAAGCUACGCGAACACCAAUUACCUUCAAUUGCACUCUGAAUCAUCUUUUUGAAUAAAACUAUUUGUGUAAGACUUAUUUAUAUUUAUAAGAAAACUUUAUUUUUAAAUUUUAUAGUUAGAGAAAAUAGUAUUUAAAAUCUUUUCUUUUUUUUUUUUUUAUUUGGGUUAAGGCUUCAACUACUCAGGUCAUUAGCCUGUGGUACUGUAAGGGGGGGGGGGGGUACUGUAGAUUUGUUUACUCGUGAUUUGUUUUGGCAGAAUUUUUAAUUUGGGCCCGGGUGGGGGAUGGCAGCACUUGUUCCCCGGACACUGUGACUUGCACGGAGAAAAAUGUCGCCCGGUGGUCGAGGAUCGAACUCGGACCGGCCGUGCCGAAACCGUCGCGUUAGACCGCUCGGCCCCUUUAAAAUCUUUAUUAGUUAUAAUAUCAUAGUUUUCAUAUUUGUCGUAUUUAUAGUUUAAUUGUAAUUUAAAAUUUAGAAAUAUAUGACUAAUGUGCUGUAAUUUAUUGUUAUAUUUGCAGCAGUUUUUUUCUACAUACUAAGUAAGAAGAAAUAAAUUACAAUAUAAUAUAAAAUGUAACUGUAUACAUAUAAAACAAUUAAAAAUUUUUGUUUUUUAUGUCUAUGGAUAUAACAAAACUUUAAACUAAAUCUUAUGACUAAUAUGUUAAUUUCAACUAUUUAACUUAAGUUUUAUGUUUUUUAUUUACAUUUUAUUAUGAUUAGAGCACAAACUUGUGUGCAUAUUUUUUCUGGGUGAUAGUAUGAUAUGCUAAGUGAGCACAGAAUUUGUUUCAUGACCAUAACAAUUUGAACUGUAAUACAUUUGGGCUGCAUAUUCCAACAACUAACUCAUUUUUUUGUAUUGUAAAUCCAUUUUUUAUUGCUUUCGUGCAAUUGUUUCAGUUGUGGAAUUUUAAUUUUGAAUAUGUUUA